GAGUGGAGUGCUCUCCAUAUGAGGAGCUUCUGCUAAGAGCCUGCUGGGGCUUUGAUCAAGUAGGGAGCUUGAGAGGUGGUUGGUGGCUUCACUGGAGCUAGGGCAGAGACUAUGGCUCUGCCCAGAGCUAACUGAGGUAGGCCUGCAGAGAAGGAAGUGAGUAACCCCCACUUUUGUUUGGGAAAGUACUUGCAAAGGACGGGGGUCUAGCAGAGAGCCUGAGUCUGAGGAGAGGCAGAGUGAUCUUCCCAUAGAACCAGGACCCAUUGCUGACCUUUGGUGGGGCCAACUCCAAUCUUCAGAAGGUUGUGCAGCUUGUUGCCUUGGCUGGACUGAUGCACAGAACCAACAGAGUGUUGUCUCCAGCAGCUCAUCUUCAAGCACGCCCAUGCAAGCAAGUGUCUAGGAUUCUGAAAUCCAGAGGAGUGCACCCUCCGAGAACUUGCUGGAAGGAACAUAAAGAUGAGACUUAAGGAAAAGCUUCCUGACAAUGAUUGCCAAAUAAUGGGGUGAAAACCCACAGGUGGAAAUCUGAAUAUUCUUGAUUCUAAUUACCUGAUUUGUAGGCCCCAGUCAGGUUGCUAGAAGCACAAGUGCUCAUAUUUACCACAGUUCACCUUGGUGGGCCAAUAAGAAAGAGUGAUGAUAAUUUUAGAAGAGGAAAACAUUUUUGUCAGAAAGUAGCAGCCCAUUUCCACCUGUGUGGCAUGAUGCUGUGUACAAAGCACUACAUAGGUAUAGUGCAAGCUUUCCCAUACCUCUCUGCUCAUGUAUUCAUAACCAGAACCAGGAGGACCAUCUGUAAAGGAUGAGAAGAUGCAAAAAAGCUCACUUUCACGGCUGUGCAGAAGUGAUCCCUGGUGUAGAAGCAAUCCCAACAACCAUACUGUUCGUUUGACAGCUGGACCCAAAUCCGAGUUUUCAUAUUGAAUAAAAACAGCAACAACUCACCUACAAUUCCCUUGAUCACCUAUAGGACAUGCAUGGAUCAGUAUUCAAUUGAAAAGAUUGUUUUCUAUGUACACCUAUGGCCCAGAUCAGUGUGCAUUAUCUGCGUAUGUAUAACCUUUCUUUAACUUGAACAAGAAGAUCCACACAAAUGAUAAAUAACUUUUGGCUUAGUCAAUUCACUUAUUUAUGUUCUUGUAUCUGAUUGUUCUCCUCUGUCAGUUGUUUGGAAUGAAGGAAAUGGGAUGACUUGUUGGCACGUUUGCAUUAAUAUUAUUGGCUACACUAGAGGCUCUGGUGGGUGAUGGUGCCUUUAGUCCCUUGAAGGAGGGGAGGGGGAAAUUAAAGACUUGAUUCUCUUUUACACUAAGGCCCCAUUACACCGCCAGAGUGGCAAAUUUGACAACUAUGUUAUUAGAGGUGGGUAUAUAUUGGAAAGAACAUCCACCCAUAAUUAUUAAAAUUGGAAAGGAAGUUUCGAUUUGACUAUGUUUAUGAGCCUUUCCUGUUACCUUUUGGCAAAUUUUCCAGGGCACAAGCUCUGCUAACACAAACACAAUGAAAAGCGAAUCUUGCAUUCAAAGGCAUGAAUUUGUCAAAAGUGCAUUUUGAAUGAUAUAUGUGAUUGUGAUAGUCUGAUUCACAAUUUGCAUUUCAU